rfam:Oryza glumipatula chromosome 7, whole genome shotgun sequence.
AAUAAGUGCAGUUUUGCACUGUUUAUAUCCAACGUUUGACCGUUUAUCUUAUUUGAAAAUUUUGUAUGAUUACUACUUUUAUUGUUAUUAAAUGAUAAAACAUGAAUAAUACUUUAUGUGUGACUAUUUUUUUAAAAUUUUCAAAUAAGAUGGACGAUCAAACGUUGGACACAGAUUACCAUGGCUACACUUAUU